UACGGGAGGGGCUAGCGUUGUUCGGAAUUACUGGGCGUAAAGCGCACGUAGGCGGCUUUGUAAGUUAGAGGUGAAAGCCCGGGGCUCAACUCCGGAAUUGCCUUUAAGACUGCAUCGCUAGAAUUGUGGAGAGGUAAGUGGAAUUCCGAGUGUAGAGGUGAAAUUCGUAGAUAUUCGGAAGAACACCAGUGGCGAAGGCGACUUACUGGACACAUAUUGACGCUGAGGUGCGAAAAGCGUGGGGAGCAAACAGG
rnacentral:rRNA from 1 species